rnacentral:rRNA from 1 species
AUCAAAGGUGAGCCAGUACAGGAUGGACCCGCGUCUGAUUAGCUAGUUGGUAAGGUAACGGCUUACCAAGGCGACGAUCAGUAGCCGACCUGAGAGGGUGAUCGGCCACAUUGGAACUGAGACACGGUCCAAACUCCUACGGGAGGCAGCAGUGGGGAAUAUUGCACAAUGGGCGAAAGCCUGAUGCAGCAACGCCGCGUGAGUGAUGAAGGCCUUCGGGUCGUAAAACUCUGUCCUCAAGGAAGAUAAUGACGGUACUUGAGGAGGAAGCCCCGGCUAACUACGUGCCAGCAGCCGCGGUAAUACGGAGGGGGCUAGCGUUAUCCGGAUUUACUGGGCGUAAAGGGUGCGUAGGCGGUCUUUCAAGUCAGGAGUGAAAGGCUACGGCUCAACCGUAGUAAGCUCUUGAAACUGGGAGACUUGAGUGCAGGAGAGGAGAGUGGAAUUCCUAGUGUAGCGGUGAAAUGCGUAGAUAUUAGGAGGAACACCAGUUGCGAAGGCGGCUCUCUGGACUGUAACUGACGCUGAGGCACGAAAGCGUGGGGAGCAAACAGGAUUAGAUACCCUGGUAGUCCACGCUGUAAACGAUGAGUACUAGGUGUCGGGGGUUACCCCC